rnacentral:rRNA from 1 species
AACGAACGCUGGCGGCAGGCCUAACACAUGCAAGUCGAACGAGAAGCCACCUUCGGGUGGUGGAAAGUGGCAGACGGGUGAGUAACGCGUGGGAACGUGCCUUUCGGUUCGGGAUAACCCAGGGAAACUCGGGCUAAUACCGGAUACGCCCUCCGGGGGAAAGAUUCAUUGCCGAAAGAUCGGCCCGCGUCGGAUUAGCUAGUUGGUAGGGUAAUGGCCUACCAAGGCGACGAUCCGUAGCUGGUCUGAGAGGAUGACCAGCCACACUGGGACUGAGACACGGCCCAGACUCCUACGGGAGGCAGCAGUGGGGAAUAUUGGACAAUGGGCGAAAGCCUGAUCCAGCCAUGCCGCGUGGGUGAAGAAGGCCUUAGGGUUGUAAACCCCUUUCAGCGGGGAAGAUAAUGACGGUACCCGCAGAAGAAGUCCCGGCUAACUCCGUGCCAGCCGCCGCCGUAAGAC